rnacentral:tRNA from 1 species
GGAUUUGGCUCAGUGGUAGAGCGCUUGCCUAGCAAGCACAAGGCCCUGGGUUCGAUCCCCAGCUCCG